rnacentral:misc_RNA from 1 species
GAAUAAUCAACUAAAACUGAAUCAUUGUGCAAUUACUAACAGAUUUUCCUUGAAUACAGAUUCAUGUCAACUUAAGAAAUCUAACAUUAAAACUGAACCAUCUUUGUUUUGAUUUCUUUUCUCCCAUCUAUCCUAAUUACCCAAAAAAAAGGGAAAAAGAAGUAGCUAUUUAUCCGAGACAUAAGAAAAAUCUAAAUUGCUGAGUCUUUUUGCUCCAAACUAUGAAGGAGUUAAAUGCUUGUUCUUCCACCAAAUCAUUCCUCGUCCCUAACAUUUACUCAUCAUCGUCUUCCUCUCCACUCUCAUCAUCAUCUUCAUCGUCAUCAUUGACUUCUGAUUUGGAUUUGUCUGAUUCUUCUUCUUCAGCUCCAUUACCUCCCUCGGCAAUUCUCUUAUUAUAAGCCUGCAUACUCUUGUUGUACUCUGUCUUCCUUUUCUCAGCCUUGUUUAUGUAAGGUGCUUUCUCAGCAUCGGACAUUGACUUCCAUUUAUCACCGCCAGCCUUUCCAACGGCGGCGACGGAUUUGUUAUUAGGAUGCUCCUUCUUGUACUGCUUCCUGAACUCCUCCAUGAAAACGAAGAAAGCA